AGUGAACGCUGGCGGUAGGCCUAACACAUGCAAGUUGAACGGCAGCACAGUAAGAGCUUGCUCUUACGGGUGGCGAGUGGCGGACGGGUGAGGAAUACAUCGGAAUCUACUUUUUCGUGGGGGAUAACGUAGGGAAACUUACGCUAAUACCGCAUACGACCUACGGGUGAAAGCAGGGGAUCUUCGGACCUUGCGCGAUUGAAUGAGCCGAUGUCGGAUUAGCUAGUUGGCGGGGUAAAGGCCCACCAAGGCGACGAUCCGUAGCUGGUCUGAGAGGAUGAUCAGCCACACUGGAACUGAGACACGGUCCAGACUCCUACGGGAGGCAGCAGUGGGGAAUAUUGGACAAUGGGCGCAAGCCUGAUCCAGCCAUACCGCGUGGGUGAAGAAGGCCUUCGGGUUGUAAAGCCCUUUUGUGGGGAAAGAAAAGCAGCAGGUUAAUACCCCGCUGUUCUGACGGUACCCAAAGAAUAAGCACCGGCUAACUUCGUG
rnacentral:rRNA from 1 species